CUGACGGGUGCUAUACUGCAAGUCGAGCGGACAGAUGGGAGCUUGCUCCCUGAUGUUAGCGGCGGACGGGUGAGUAACACGUGGGUAACCUGCCUGUAAGACUGGGAUAACUCCGGGAAACCGGGGCUAAUACCGGAUGCUUGUUUGAACCGCAUGGUUCAAACAUAAAAGGUGGCUUCGGCUACCACUUACAGAUGGACCCGCGGCGCAUUAGCUAGUUGGUGAGGUAAUGGCUCACCAAGGCGACGAUGCGUAGCCGACCUGAGAGGGUGAUCGGCCACACUGGGACUGAGACACGGCCCAGACUCCUACGGGAGGCAGCAGUAGGGAAUCUUCCGCAAUGGACGAAAGUCUGACGGAGCAACGCCGCGUGAGUGAUGAAGGUUUUCGGAUCGUAAAGCUCUGUUGUUAGGGAAGAACAAGUACCGUUCGAAUAGGGCGGUACCUUGACGGUACCUAACCAGAAAGCCACGGCUAACUACGUGCCAGCAGCCGCGGUAAUACGUAGGUGGCAAGCGUUGUCCGGAAUUAUUGGGCGUAAAGGGCUCGCAGGCGGUUYCUUAAGUCUGAUGUGAAAGCCCCCGGCUCAACCGGGGAGGGUCAUUGGAAACUGGGGAACUUGAGUGCAGAAGAGGAGAGUGGAAUUCCACGUGUAGCGGUGAAAUGCGUAGAGAUGUGGAGGAACACCAGUGGCGAAGGCGACUCUCUGGUCUGUAACUGACGCUGAGGAGCGAAAGCGUGGGGAGCGAACAGGAUUAGAUACCCUGGUAGUCCACGCCGUAAACGAUGAGUGCUAAGUGUUAGGGGGUUUCCGCCCCUUAGUGCUGCAGCUAACGCAUUAAGCACUCCGCCUGGGGAGUACGGUCGCAAGACUGAAACUCAAAGGAAUUGACGGGGGCCCGCACAAGCG
rnacentral:rRNA from 1 species